rfam:Myotis davidii contig175680, whole genome shotgun sequence.
ACCCUCUGGCAAUGGGUAAGAAGACACCUGAUUGGUGGUGUUGCUCUAUCAAUCAGGGGCAAAGCAGAUGUGUAGUCCUUAGUUCAUCCUGGUUUGAUGGCUAUGUCGGUGGCCAGAGCUGUUUCAUGCCUGAGGCACAUAA